UGAUGGAGAGGCGCAAUUCACUGGGA
rnacentral:sRNA from 1 species